rnacentral:rRNA from 1 species
UACGGGGGGGGCAAGCGUUGUUCGGAAUUACUGGGCGUAAAGGGCUCGUAGGUGGCCAACUAAGUCAGACGUGAAAUCCCUCGGCUUAACCGGGGAACUGCGUCUGAUACUGGACGGCUUGAGUUUGGGAGAGGGACGCGGAAUUCCAGGUGUAGCGGUGAAAUGCGUAGAUAUCUGGAGGAACACCGGUGGCGAAGGCGGGUCUCUGGGCCGAUACUGACGCUGAGACGCGAAAGCGUGGGGAGCGAACAGG